CCUACGGGCGGCAGCAGUGGGGAAUAUUGCACAAUGGGCGCAAGCCUGAUGCAGCCAUGCCGCGUGUGUGAAGAAGGCCUUCGGGUUGUAAAGCACUUUCAGCGGGGAGGAAGGCGUUAAGGUUAAUAACCUUGGCGAUUGACGUUACCCGCAGAAGAAGCACCGGCUAACUCCGGGCCAGCAGCCGCGGUAAUACGGAGGGUGCAAGCGUUAAUCGGAAUUACUGGGCGUAAAGCGCACGCAGGCGGUCUGUCAAGUCGGAUGUGAAAUCCCCGGGCUCAACCUGGGAACUGCAUUCGAAACUGGCAGGCUAGAGUCUUGUAGAGGGGGGUAGAAUUCCAGGUGUAGCGGUGAAAUGCGUAGAGAUGUGGAGGAAUACCGGUGGCGAAGGCGGCCCCCUGGCCAAAGACUGACGCUCAGGUGCGAAAGCGUGGGGAGCAAACAGGAUUAGAUACCCGGGUAGUC
rnacentral:rRNA from 1 species